UGAAUUGGAACCACAUGACUUAUGAAGUAUCUAUGUUUGAAUUUGAUUUGUAUUUAUUUGCUUUUUAUAUCUCUAAUUCUUUUUAAUCGGAACUCAGUUGAUUGCUUGUUUAUCCAAUUACUAUUCAACAUAUGUUAUAAUUUCAAUUUUUAUUUUGAUUAAGAAACUAAGGUUUUAUCAUAUAAAGAUUGUAAUACUGUUCUGUGCUGAAUCCAAUUUGUAAAACGACCCAAACCCAAUCUGCCCCGAAACCCGCAUACACUAUGUAUUGUAUAUGUUUCUGCUUGUAUACAUGUAUAUGAAGUGUUUGUGUGUCUAUACAUGUGCACGAAGAAGUGAAGAUGGAUCUACUGCUGCUACAAGCUUUUUUUUUCCUUUAAAAACUGUUGUUUAAACCGACCCAACCCGACCCGACCCGAAACCCGUUCAGACCCGAAACCCGUUCCAACCCGAACCCGUUCUGACCCGAACCUGUUUUGACCCUGACCCGUUUUGACCCGAACCAAAACAACCCUUUGUUUAAUUGACCCGUUUUGACCCGAACCCGGUUUGACCCGAACCCUUUUUGACCCAUGACCCGACCCGACCCAACCCGACCCGUUUGCCAGGUCUACUUAAUACACUCAGGCAAAUUUAUGCAAAACUUAAAAAAUUAAAACAGAAAUCAACGUCUUGCUUAUAUACAUUCAUACUCUUAUUGUAAAUUUGUAGUUGUAGAUCACUUAUAUGCAAAAGAUAAAAAUGGGUUGAAUGGGUUAUAUUUGUGUCAAGCAUGCACUCACUAAUGAAGAUCCUCAAUAUGUCCCAUAUAGUGUAGAUGAACCAUAUGGUCAAGUAUUAUGGAAUCCCGGGUUCGUAUAUUUUAAAAAAGAUUCAGUCUUUAUGCGUUUGAAAGAACAUUCAAAGACUAAACUCGUCGUAGGAGAUUGCAAUACGCUCUUUGUUAUGGUUUUAUAUUGUAUGUUUCUUAUAUAACUGAUCUUUUUUAUUCUAUUGCAGUUUAGAAGCACCACCAAGGCCAUAAUUUGUGUUGUUGAUUUGUGUGAUGUCUUGGUUUUUAUUCUAUUGCAGUUUAAAAGAUUCAGUCUUGCCUUGGCUUUGGGGACCUCAUCGCCUUGCGCCUUUUAAAACAUAGGAUGUGGAUGUCUUGGUCUUGAAAAGCGAGAGGCGCACAAAAGCGAUGAGGUCUAAAACCAAAGCGUGAGAUGCAAAAGCAGCAGGCUUUUAGUACCCGAGGCGCAAGCUAAUUAUAUAUAUUUUUAUAUAUCCCAUAGGUUUUUAGCUUUCCCUACCCAAAAUAUAGCUAUAAGUAAGGUUUUUGUAUAAUUUUAGCUGCAUGUACAAACCAAAAAACCCAAGGUACAACAGUUAGAUGCAUAAAAACGCCUCGGGUACGAGAUGCGCGCGCUUCAGGCCAAAAAAGCCAUAAAAAUUCCAAAAAAGCGCGCCUUUUUAGCGCUUCUUGUAAUUACUCUAGGCGCCGAGCGAAAAAGCCCCAGGGUGUGCCCCUUGUUGCGUCUCGCGCUUAAGCGUGCCUCAGGCGCACUUUUCAAAACCAAGGUGGAUGUGGCUAACCAAAUGUAGCAAUUUUCAUGGCAUGUAAAGAGCAAGUGUUGCAGCACUUUUCAAGAAGGGGUGGGUCAUUAGACUUCUCCUCACAAGCGCGGGAUCAGAAAUGGACCAAAGGCUCUAAAACCUAUUCCCGUCAUAAUACGUUGCAAGUUUUGUGGUCGAGUGAAACUACCUCAUUUUUUCUGCUGCAGUGGACUUAGGGACACAGACGCAACCAAUGGUUCAACCAGUUCACCACAGGUGACGAGAACCUCAUACAAGGUAAGAUAUGCUGACUGAUAAGAUGCAUAAAAACCAAAGCCAACACCUUUUGUAGCAAGACUUUUGUCUUUUAAUAUGAAUAAAAGCAUAGGCUGCUACAAGUCCUACUUUUUUCAGGUAAUUUUCUGUUAUAAAACUGCAACAUAAAGGCACAUGUUUUUAGUGAUAGGGAAACAUCAUCACUCUGGUUUGCUGAAUGGUAUCAUUAUCAUCGGAUGUGUAUGUAUCUUUUCAUUGGCAUAAGUAAAAUGUUCAAACCGAGAUUGAUUCGAUUUAGCGCGCGCCGCAACACGCGUGUCUGUAACUAUAAACCUAGUUUAAUUUAUUUCUCAUAUUUCAUUUUUUGUUAUUGAUUUAUGUUUUUUAUUUAUGGCAUCUGGUUGUAUGUUUGUAAUUACGCUGAACAUAUGUUCUUGUGAUCCCUAGCAUUCGCGCCGGAGGUGUUGGAGUGAAUCUUCAAGCUGCGGAUACAGUCAUCAUUUUUUACACAGAUUGCAAUCCACAGGCAAUACAUAUAUGGAGGAUUAUCUGUGUUUUGUUUUUGUAGGAUGAGCCCCUAUGUGUUGCUGCCAGACAAGAUGGGAAGGUAUUAGUCUCUGGUCUAUGGGUUGAUCACAGUUUUGAUGUCGGAGCGCACGUGGAUACAACCUCGGUAAUGUACGUACCGGUGAGAGAUUUGAAUGGGAUUCCAGGUGCAACGUCACUAGUUAUAUGUUUGACAGGAUAUCAACGUGAAGAUCGAGAGGACAUUAUGGUAAUGUCAAAAGAAGUUGAGUAUAGUUAGUUGGCUGAUGUAGCGACAAUAAGUAGUAAGUGCAGGGAAAUAUGAAGUGGAAGUAUGACUACUAAGAAAACGUUAACACGAUGAUUAUUUAA
rnacentral:lncRNA from 1 species